UUGUCUGCAGAACAAGAUGCAGGGUAUCACGCGCAUGGAUGCUGCCCUGGACGCAAUGCGUCCACUUGGAUUUAGGACACAACUGAUUCUACGAACGGUUAAUGAGCUUCUCGAUGUGUAUGGUGGAAAUCAAGGAUGGUGCUUUAUUGAAGAGGCCUAUUACAAGCUCCUAAUGGAGGCCCGUCACUGCCAUUGUUUUUACCGUUAAGAAGAAAUUUAGUCACUGCGGUUCCGAUAAGCCUGCUCCAGUUCCCGGUCCCCCUGGCGCCGUUGACCAAAAAUACCGCACUGCACUCAAAACCGCAAUGCAAUUCUUCGAUGUUCAGAAAUCUGGGAGGUUAGUUGACAAUAAAAUAUCUUGGAGAGGGAAUUCGGCUCUUAAGGAUGGGAGCCAAGCGAAGUUGGAUCUAUCAAAAGGGAUGUAUGAUGUUGGGGAUA